AGAGUUUGAUCCUGGCUCAGGAUGAACGCUAGCGACAGGCUUAACACAUGCAAGUCGAGGGGCAGCAUGAUUUGUAGCAAUACAGAUUGAUGGCGACCGGCGCACGGGUGAGUAACGCGUAUGCAACUUACCUAUCAGAGGGGGAUAGCCCGGCGAAAGUCGGAUUAAUACCCCAUGAAACAGGGGUCCCGCAUGGGAAUAUUUGUUAAAGAUUCAUCGCUGAUAGAUAGGCAUGCGUUCCAUUAGGCAGUUGGCGGGGUAACGGCCCACCAAACCGACGAUGGAUAGGGGUUCUGAGAGGAAGGUCCCCCACAUUGGUACUGAGACACGGACCAAACUCCUACGGGAGGCAGCAGUGAGGAAUAUUGGUCAAUGGACGCAAGUCUGAACCAGCCAUGCCGCGUGCAGGAUGACGGCUCUAUGAGUUGUAAACUGCUUUUGUACGAGGGUAAACGCAGAUACGUGUAUCUGUCUGAAAGUAUCGUACGAAUAAGGAUCGGCUAACUCCGUGCCAGCAGCCGCGGUAAUACGGAGGAUUCAAGCGUUAUCCGGAUUUAUUGGGUUUAAAGGGUGCGUAGGCGGUUUGAUAAGUUAGAGGUGAAAUUUCGGGGCUCAACCCUGAACGUGCCUCUAAUACUGUUGAGCUAGAGAGUAGUUGCGGUAGGCGGAAUGUAUGGUGUAGCGGUGAAAUGCUUAGAGAUCAUACAGAACACCGAUUGCGAAGGCAGCUUACCAAACUAUAUCUGACGUUGAGGCACGAAAGCGUGGGGAGCAAACAGGAUUAGAUACCCUGGUAGUCCACGCAGUAAACGAUGAUAACUCGUUGUCGGCGAUACACAGUCGGUGACUAAGCGAAAGCGAUAAGUUAUCCACCUGGGGAGUACGUUCGCAAGAAUGAAACUCAAAGGAAUUGACGGGGGCCCGCACAAGCGGAGGAACAUGUG
rnacentral:rRNA from 1 species